rnacentral:misc_RNA from 1 species
AAGUCGUAACAAGGUUUCCGUAGGUGAACCUGCGGAAGGAUCAUUAACACGUAUCCAAACCCUUCAGCCUAAUCUCUGAUAAAUCAUAGCCCGGAAAGUUGUAGUGAUUCAGAGGCCUCUGGCUACGUGCGAACAUUGGAACAGUUACAAUCGAGCGGUAGUUCUAUAGGCAAUGUUUCUCCAAGCAGUCAGUGUCGGAAAGUGUCAUUGAUUGUGCAAGGAUAGCGCUUCUACGAUUCCUGUAGACCGUACACUCGGGCAGGAGCUUUGCCAAAGGGUCCCCAUGCCCCCUAAUAACCCCACAGUUUAAUGUGAAGCUCAAUGUAAUACAUUGGGUAAAAAAACCGAACAACUGUUAACAAUGGAUAUCUUGGUUCUC